UUGUCUUCUUCUUCUCUACACUGCCGUUCUCUCCCAUAAAAAAAAAAAAUCCUUAUUUCUUCUCAUGUUCUUUCAAGAGUGGAUUAUAAUUCUCUCAGCCUAAGGAGGAGACAUUGAACCUUUGAAGGUUUAAGAGAAAUAUUGGAAGAACUAAGCCUAUCAACAGGUGAUGUUUGACAUGGUUUGCUGUGAGAGCGCGGUAGACCGAGAUUCUAAGGACUAUUAAGGCUUAAGAAGAAAUUGAUGUAAUAGUAGAUUAUUACUUUAUUUUGGACUAUGGAUUUAUUUUUUAUUUUUGUUUAAGGUUAGCCUUGCAUCUAAUCAAGUAAGGAUUAGGUGUGGCAGUAACAUCCCUAUUCAAUUUAGUUUUGUAAAGCUUCCGCAAUGAUCUUAGUGAAUUAUUAAGAAAGAAAAAAAAAUUAAGCAAAAUUUGAUCUUAA